GCCGCGCCGAACUGCAGCCAUGGAGCAGGCACCUCCGGACCCCGAGCGGCAGCUCCAGCCGGCGCCCUUGGAGCCGCUGGGCUCCCCAGACGCUGGGCUGGGGGCUGCGGUCGGCAAGGAAGCGGAGGGGGCCGGAGAAGAGAGCUCUGGGGUCGACACGAUGACACACAAUAAUUUUUGGUUGAAGAAGAUAGAAAUCAGUGUUUCAGAAGCAGAAAAACGAACUGGAAGAAAUGCCAUGAACAUGCAAGAAACAUAUACUGCUUACCUCAUUGAAACAAGGUCAGUUGAACAUACCGAUGGUCAGAGUGUCCUAACAGACUCACUAUGGCGGCGAUAUAGUGAAUUUGAGUUGUUGAGAAGCUACCUUUUAGUUUACUAUCCACAUAUUGUUGUGCCACCUCUGCCAGAAAAACGGGUAAGAAGUGAAAUGGCAGUAGUUUAGAAGUAUUCAGCAUUGAGACUAUUCUUAAUGAUUAUUUUGUUUACCUAGGCAGAAUUUGUUUGGCAUAAACUCUCUGCUGACAACAUGGAUCCAGAUUUUGUGGAGAGGCGACGGAUUGGUUUAGAAAACUUUCUCUUGAGGAUUGCUUCACAUCCCAUCCUUUGUAGAGACAAAAUCUUCUAUCUGUUUUUAACACAGGAAGGUAACUGGAAGGAGACUGUGAAUGAAACUGGGUUUCAGCUGAAGAGAGUAGCAGAUCGACUCUAUGGUGUAUAUAAAGUACAUGGGAAUUAUGGUCGAGUUUUCAGUGAAUGGAGUGCCAUAGAAAAAGAAAUGGGUGAUGGACUGCAGAGUGCUGGUCAUCAUAUGGAUGUGUAGGUACCU
rnacentral:sRNA from 1 species